AGCAACUAUAUUGCUCUUAUUACUGCUAAACUCGACCAUUUUUGAUAAACCUCAACUGCUUAUCAGCUAUUGUCUGGAAAGACCCUUCCUUAGAGGAGCUGGGCAACCAGGUAGCAAAGUGGAUAAAGUGCCAGGCCUGAAGUCAGAAAGAUUCAACUUCCUGAGUUCAAAUCUGGCCUUAAAUACUGACUGACUUUGUGACCCUAGGCAAGUUAUUUAACCUUACUGCCUCAAUUUUCUCAUCUGUAAAAUGAGCUGGAGAAGGAAAUGGCAAACCACUCCAGUAUUUUUGCCAAGAAAACCCCAAAUGGGGUUACACAGUCAGGUACAUCUGAAAUUACUGAACAACAAAUGGGAGCCAGGUGCUUAGUGGAUAGGCACUGAACUUGAAGUCAAAAAGAUCUGAGUUCUAAUCAACCCUCAAAUAUUUACUAGCUAUGAGACUUAACCUCUUUAGGUUCAGUUUCCUUAUUUGUAAAAUGAGGAUAAUAACAACACCUACCUCACAGCAUUGUUGUGACAAAUGAGGUGAUAUAUGCAAAGAGACCAAAGUUAUCACUCACUUUGAGGUUUCAGCUAAUUCAGUCCUGGGCUGAAUGAAGAUAAGUAUAGUGUUCAAAACUAGGGAAAUGCUUGUCUUAUGUACUCUCUUUCUUGGACAGGCAAGAAUAAUACUAUUACUGUACAUCUAUUUUUGGAAAAAAACAUUUCAGAAAACAUCUGUAAACUGGAGAACCUCCAUAAGAUGUCAAGUAAGAUGGCGAGGGUCCUUAGUUCAUGAGAUAAUUUGGAGAGCUCAUUGUAUAGAGUGUUGGACCCGAGUCAAGAAAACAACCAGGGGAUAACUCGGGGAGCGGAUCUAGUACUGUUGUUCAUCACUCCACAUCCAAUGUGUUCCUCCCAAAGAAGGGGUUUAAACCAGAUGAUGCCCAAUAUUCCUUCCACUUCCAAUCUAUUCUUCUAUGAGUUUUUAAGCUGUGAGUCUGUGAGAAAGGUGUGGCCAGAAAACAAAUCUAACAAUUGAAAGAAAAAAGUUACGUCAACGUCAACUGUGCUUACUCUAGUAAGCUGUUUUCAAAAUUGACUGGCAUCUUCUUCCUGAACUGUAUUCCAACUGGCAAGUGCAAUGCAGAUGGCUUCCUGUUAGACUGCAAUGGGAUGUGUGCAAAAUUUGUAUCUUUAGAAGGUCAUUUCAUCUGCUGUCGGGUUGUAUAAGCGCAGUGAGGCAUUGAGAGAAAACAUGGGCAAGGGUUUGAGAUCACUUCUGUCUAGCAUGCACAUUCUUCGGAAUUUCGCCCAAAGUUUUCAUAAAAUGAAGCUGCACUUUUUAUGCUCAUAAAAGGAAAAAUCAGAGGACUUUUGUUCUCUAAAAGUUGAAGAGGGGGAGGUGGGGGUUUUUUCCACUCUGAUGAAAGACUUUUUCCCCCCCUACUACAACUCUGCAUUUAUGUAUCAUGGAAAUCAGUCUCAUCACUAGUAUUCCUGAAUUCUUUUAUUGUACCUGUGCCUCCACACACCAUUCCUCCAUCAAUUGAUUAAAAAAAAUACUGACUCCCAC
ensembl:lncRNA